GGGUCGGCUUUAGCUCAAGCGGUUACUUCGCUCACUGUCUUCUGACUAACAAUCCCUUCACGGGGGUUCGAGACCCGCGGGUGCUUCCUGACCCUUUU
ensembl:vault_RNA Vault Vault RNA